AUUUCAUUUCUACCGCUCCCACCCUCUCUCCCCCUCACUUUCUCUUUGUCUCUAGCUUCCUCUCUUUAUCCCUUUCUUCACCACCCCUCCUCUCCAUCUUUAAGCAGCUUUUCUGUUGAAUUGGUUGAAGGUUACAGUGGUACUGAGAGCUAUUUCAAGGAUCCGUUACCAUACAAGAUAGUAAAUAAGAAUAGCAAUACCUGAUUGACAACUACUUAUCGUCACUCUAACAGUUUGGCAUGAAGUGCGUCUUUUGGUUUUUGCAAAUUCUUCCGAUUAGAAAUAGACUUGCAGUUAGAAGUGUACGCCUCAACAAAGAUAUAAAAUAAACAAGAACCGAGAGAAAAAAAAAACAA
rnacentral:lncRNA from 1 species